rnacentral:rRNA from 1 species
UACGAAGGGGGCUAGCGUUGCUCGGAAUUACUGGGCGUAAAGGGCUCGUAGGCGGCCAACUAAGUCCGACGUGAAAUCCCCAGGCUUAACCUGGGAACUGCGUCGGAUACUGGAUGGCUUGAAUUCGGGAGAGGGAUGCAGAAUUCCAGGUGUAGCGGUGAAAUGCGUAGAUAUCUGGAGGAAUACCGGUGGCGAAGGCGGCAUCCUGGACCGGUAUUGACGCUGAGGCGCGAAAGCCAGGGGAGCAAACGGG